rnacentral:rRNA from 1 species
UCGGAACGUGCCCUGUAGUGGGGGAUAACUAGUCGAAAGAUUAGCUAAUACCGCAUACGACCUGAGGGUGAAAUGGGGGACCGCAAGGCCUCAUGCUAUAGGAGCGGCCGAUGUCUGAUUAGCUAGUUGGUGAGGUAAAGGCUCACCAAGGCGACGAUCAGUAGCUGGUCUGAGAGGACGAUCAGCCACACUGGGACUGAGACACGGCCCAG